AUGACUCCCUUGAGAGCCCUGUUCCCCGUUCAUCAACACACAGACCCAGAAGACUCCUCCGUCCUGCAGCACCUGCCAUGAGCAUCAGCCUCCUGUGCUGUGCAACCUUUUGUCUCUUUUGGGCAGGUCCAGUGAAUGCUGGUGUCACUCAAACCCCAAAAUUCCAGGUCCUGAGGACAGGACAGAGCACAACAAUGGAGUGUUCCCAGGAUAUGAACCAUGACCGCAUGUACUGGUAUCGACAAGACCCAGGCAUGGGGCUGAGGCUGAUUCAUUACUCAGUUGGUGAAGGUACCACUGACAAAGGAGAAGUCCACGAUGGCUACAAUGUCUCCAGAUCAAACACAAAGGAUUUCCCACUCAGGCUGGAGGCAGCUUCUCCCUCACAGACAUCUGUGUACUUCUGUGCCAGCAGUGACUCCACAGUGCUGCAAGGCUGUCUCCUCUCUGCACAUAAAGGCAGGGAGGCUCUGCCCUCCUCCCCCACCCAAGACUCAGCAAUGUCCUUGGUCCUAGCACCAGAAACUUUGGAGCCCCAAUGGGCCCAGGCAGUGUGAGCCUUGGUCUGGGCCAGGUGCCUCUGCAGUCAGUGUAAUCCAGGCCUGGACUGGUCGCAGGGCCUCAGAUGUCUUCUUUGUGGCCCUCUGGUCUUUCCUCUGAGCAGUCCAUUUGGGUUGGGGCC